ACUAACAGGUAUGUUUUAAUUUUAGAAAUACUAUCAUAAAUUCAAGACAUCACAAGAUAUUAAAUUUUCCUCAGAAAUGUAAAGACAAUAAAUUAAGAGUGGAGGCUUUAAAUGUCUUAAAUAUUUCACGAAGAUUUGGCGUACCACCACAUACUCUAAGAAAUUGUAGGAUAAAGUUACACGAGAAAUGUCUAUCAAGACCAGACAAAGAAAAUUGCCACACUAAAUGAAGAAAUAAUAAAAGGACUGAGAAGAUUCAUGAACACCAAGCAAGGACGUCUACUUUCAUUGAGUAGAAUAGCUAUUAGCAGUAAAGUAGAGGAAGAGACCAACUAGAUGAAAGUUUUCAAUUUAAUAUUUAAUCAGAUAUAGGAACAAUUUCUGCUACAGGGGUGAAUCUGUUGAAGAUUAACUUUAGGAAUACGUACAAUCUAUAAUGAACGAACUGCUUUAAAGAUGAUUUUGAUGAAAUGUUUUCUCAUAAUAAAAGGACUUUUAUUAAUAAAUAAGUAGUUAAUAAA